CGCCGCACCCGCCGCCGCCGCACCCGCUGCCGCCGCCGCAUCCGCCGCACCCGCCGCACCCUUCCCACGCUCAGCUGAUGCAGGGCGAAAACAAAAUGGGUCCUCCCGGCAUGCCGCCGCAUGCGCCGCCGCCGCCGCCAGGCGCGGGCCCGGCGGGCGCCGCGGGCGG